AAGAGUACUGUAGUUUCAAAAUUUCAUUGAUUAAAAUUUUGAACUACAGUACUCUUCA
rnacentral:pre_miRNA from 1 species